rnacentral:tRNA from 1 species
GCCCUUAUAGCUCAGUGGUAGAGCGCUUGACUUGUAAUCAAGAGGUCCAUAGUUCAAUCCUGUGUGGGGGCA